GAUGAACGCUGGCGGCGUGCCUAAUACAUGCAAGUAGAACGCUGAAGGAGGAGCUUGCUCUUCUGGAUGAGUUGCGAACGGGUGAGUAACGCGUAGGUAACCUGCCUGGUAGCGGGGGAUAACUAUUGGAAACGAUAGCUAAUACCGCAUGACAACAGUUAUUGCAUGAUAACUGUUUAAAAGGGGCAACUGCUCCACUACCAGAUGGACCUGCGUUGUAUUAGCUAGUUGGUGAGGUAACGGCUCACCAAGGCGACGAUACAUAGCCGACCGGAGAGGGUGAUCGGCCACACUGGGACUGAGACACGGCCCAGACUCCUACGGGAGGCAGCAGUAGGGAAUCUGCGGCAAGGGACGGAAGUCUGACCGAGCAACGCCGCGUGAGUGAAGAAGGUUGUCGGAUCGUAAAGCUCGGUUGUAAGAGAAGAACGAGUGUGAGAGUGGAAAGUUCACACUGUGACGGUAUCUUACCAGAAAGGGACGGCUAACUACGUG
rnacentral:rRNA from 1 species